CCAGUGGAGCCAAUGCUGCAGAAGAAGAUGAAUCUGAGAAAUCAAUGUCUGAGGUGAAUGAUGAUGAGGAUGGAGAUGAGGGCAGCGAAGAGGUUAGCUUUCUUAAGGAGUUUAGUUAAAUUAAACAUCUUAAAGUUGGAACUGUUUUUUCAUUUCAUUUUUCCCCCUCCAAUUUUGCAGGACGAUGACGAGUGAAGAUGUAGAUGAUAGUAACGUCAUUUAGGGUGUCAGUGUAUUUGAUCUUUCCAUAAUAAUGGUUUGAUCAUUUCCUGUUAUUUUGUUUUUUAUAUCAUGAAAAUAUGUUAGUAUCUCCCUGUUAUUUUGUUUUUCAUAUCAUGAAAAUAUGUUAGUAUCUCCCUGUUAUUUUGUUUGUGCAUUCAGUAACGAAGGGUUGUAAUGGGAGAUCAUCUGCCUUGUACCUUACAAUGUUAGUUAUUCCAAUCCAACUGUGUUUUUUUAACUUUUUAACUGAGAUAACAAGAUCACUCCACACAUCAUGUGACAAUAUCAAAACCUUCACUUAUGUAUUACAUUUUCCAAUCAAGCUCAGUUGGGCACCCUUAACAGAGUUCUCUCUUUAAUUUCUCCAGUGGUUGUGUUUUUAUAUGUUUUUAGCCGUGUCCUCUUCAUGGUUAUUUGUAGGCCACUCUUUUAUGCAUCUCUGAGAUAGUUUCUUAUUUGUUUGCAGCAGCUUAUUAUGUCUCUGAAUUUAUGUUCAUUCUCUUAACUGAAGAGAAGGCAAUUAGUUGAUUAGUAGUUGGAAUGAGAGUGUCUUGCUGGCUUGGCUUGUAUGGUGUUUCUGGCUAGGAAGGGGUUUUGGAGAGGGAUAUUUCGGUAUAAUUUUUCCAUAUAUUUGUUAGUAGUUGGUGGUGGUGGGCUUUGUGUCUACAUCGUAUUGGUUCUUCACAUUUUGGCUGAUAGACUCGUUUAUACAACAUUGCUGGAAAUCAUAACUAAUAAGCCAUUAUAGAAUCAGAUACUCAAUUAUAUGAAACUCUUCCACCGUGCUAGAGCUGGGAAUAGAAGCCUUCUCAUAUGCUUCGAAAGUCCAAACAUCAACCAGUGUCUUUUGAAAAUAUUUGGGAUGAACUUUUUUUUUAAAAAAGUAUUGAAUGUUCUUGUAGGACAAUAUAAAAUUGAGAGUUUGCUUUUUAUUUAAGCCAACUUUUGUUGGUUGAUCACAGGUUUCAUGCUUAUAUCUAACCCAAUUGUUUAUUGUUAAAAACAAAAAGAGAUUAUUAAUCAAAUACCGAAUACCAUUAUCAAAUGACGUUCAAUUCAUUUUCAAGAAAUUUGAUGAUCUGUGUAUCCAAUGACUGGGUCACGAGUGUAGAAAGUACUUCUAUCAUACCUUUUAGGCAAAUCAGGGUUAGCCAAGAACAACCUUCCAAAAGCAACAAAAUUAGCACCACCAUUUCUAAUCACUUCCACUGCUUCCUUCUUGUAUCCACCAGCCACAAGGGUCCCUUUAAACGAUUUUCUCAUCCCCAAUAAGCUUCUUUCUUUCCCCUCCCUUUUCUCAAACCGAGUUACCAUCCUUGGCUUAAUCAAGAACUUGCCUAGAGCUUGGGGAUUGGAGUCACUGCAGCCGUAAUCUGCAAAUGGCGACAGCUGCUGAUCUUUUCACACAGCUUCCACAACUUCUAAACAAAAUCUUGCAGCGCUUUUCUAAGCUUCCUCCAUAUUGAUAUCAUCCCUUGUGUGGUUGACUUGUCUUUAAGAAACUAAUUGAUUAAGUACCCAUUGGCUCCAUUGAUCUCAACUCCAUCGAAAACCUAAAUAUACAAGGAUUAAACUUGUUAUAUCAAUUAGGAUGUUUUUCUUUCAUUUUGUUAUAAUAAUAAAGAAUCAAGUAGUACGGAUGAUUAAUUGGUCUGCUGUUAUUAGCUUCUAUGACAUUCAUGACUGCAACCUUGUAAUCCUUGACCACUUUGACUAAUCGCUUUCACCGUUGGUGACAAAGGAGGGGGAUAUUCCACUACCAUGCUCCCAGUUAUUUAAAGCAGUAUUUGUAACUCUAUAUUCUAUGUAGCUUUUAGGUAUCUUUUAGUUGUGUAAAAUUAAGCAUAUAAAUAAGUUUUCUAUCUCUAAAUUUCUUAUUUUGUUAUUUACUUUUCAUUAAUAUUUUAAACAAGAAUGAAGCCAGGUUAAUUUUGAAAAUGAAAGGGUAAUUAGAAGUAAGUUUUGGUUGUAACAGACGAAUAUUCAAGAGAAAAUUUGAUGGUCUUUUUUGGAUGGAAUAAUUCUUGUUAAUGCAAAAGAUAAUACCAUAAUAGUUAGAAGGAAGAAUCAUGGUCAUAAUAUUUUAAUUAUAAGUAUCCAGUCAGGAUUUAAGCACAAUAAUAAAAUAAAAAUAAUAAUAACAAUACUUUAGUACAUUUCAAAUUGCAAAUGAUAAUCAAUUUUUUUUAAAAAAAAUCAAGGGGUAAUAAUGAUAAAAAAAUUCAUUAUCCUCCCAAAUCUAGUACAGAAGUGAAUCUAACCUAAGUGCAUCUUGGACCAUCACACUCUCGAUCCGCCAUUGUAACAAAAAAAAAAAAAAAAAAAAUCCUCAUUGUAAACUCACGAUGAUAUGCACAAUAACAAAAUUUUCAAGUUAACUGGAGAACACUUCUAUAAUCUUUAAAAAAGUACUCUUGUUUUUUUUUUUUUUUUUGUCAAUAAUGGACUCUGAUUCAUAAUUAAACUUGAAAUAAUCAUCACAAAAAUGCAAAUGAAAUGAUUAGGUUCACUUUUCAUAUCACUUCCCAGAUUGAUGAUUGAUUAUGGUUAUAUUUAUUAAAGAUCAAAAAUAAUAUUCCAAGUGCUAAAAAAGAUAAGAAUAUUUUUUAAAAAUUUGCAAUAAAAUUUAGAAGGAAAAAAACAGAUAUGGUAUUGAGGUGAUCGUCAUAAAGUUAGGUACACGUACCCUUUUUUGUGGAAAUCCAAUUUCCCUUCUCCUGGUUUUCAGUAAUCGUCUACGGGCAGGUCUACGAUCGACUAGUUCAAAAGAGAGAGAGAGAGAGAGAGAGAGAGAGAGAGGAUAAUGGUUAUUUAAAUAAUAUGGUUACCACUAAGCCAAGCCAGUCCACACCUCCACCGUUAAAUGAUAAAUAUGGCAUUAACUUUACCCGAAAAGUUAUUUUGUUUCUUUGAUUUCAUUUUCCAGAAGAGGUUGAAUUCUCAGUCGGUGGCUUCUGCAGAAAAAAUGACCAAAAUUUUUAAUUUGUUGUCUAAAUCUAAACUAAACCCUAAGAAAUAAAAACAACGUUGCAUGGAAUUGGGAAUAUUCAAUAAAGGAAGUUUGACGACACCAAACCAAAGACGACCGUAGCUAUUGGUCCGUGGAUUCCACGCGCUUUACCUGCCAGUAGGGGAGGGUUAAUGUUAAAGAGGAAGACAUUGCCGUCGUGGCAAAGCAAGAGAAAAGACAAACAGACAAACGGAGAUAUUCUUCAUAAGACCCGCCGCGACCCGCGCAAUCAGUGUUAGAGUGCGCGUCUGACGUGGCAUUUUCUUUUUUAGGGUCCAAUUCAAUAAUUCUUGUUCUUCUUUGAGUGCUUUUCCCCCCCUUUUUUUUUUGGCUUUGCUUAGAGGAGAAAAAUGGAAAUGGCUAAAUGGGUUAGCUGAGAAUAGAGACGUAGAAACGAACCCAGAAGUUGCAGAAGCAGAGGGUGAUGGAGUGGCAGAAUCAGCAGCAACAGAAUCAAACAGAGCAAUUGCAAAUGCAGGUGGAGCAAUUGAGCAACGCCGAUGGAGUUGGUGGUCUCUACGUCAAGGUGAUGACCGAUGAGCAAAUGGAGCUUCUCAGGCAGCAGAUCUCUGUCUAUGCUUCCAUAUGUGAGCAGCUCGUGGAGAUGCACAAGGCAAUCACCGCCCAACAGGACCUUGCGGGUCUCUCUUUUCUUAUCUUUUUGCAUUACUCUUCUCAUUGAUAUUCUGUUUCAUCUCCAUUUGUUUGGACCUACAACAAUAGUUUUUUCUGUUAGAUCUACUUGUCGUAUAGGAAGUGAACUUUAAGACUAAAUCUGGGUUUUAGAAAGUAUCCUCCUCUAGUUCUGUUUCUGUUAAUUGAUUAAACUUUAAUAUUACCUGUUCCGUUUGCUGUAAACUAUAAUUGUAGGAAUAAGCGGGACCCUUGCUCUUUGUUUGUUUCAUCAUCAGAACCAUCUACUUAUCUUUCCUGUUUCUCAAUGCCUGGAGAAAUGGACUCCUUUGGAAAAUGAAUUUUGCUCCUUAAACAGCUUUUAUGCUUACUGGUUUCCAGGAAUGAGGCUUGGGAAUCUUUACUGUGAUCCAAUAAUGGCAUCUGCUGCUGGUCACAAGAUAACUGCUAGGCAGAGGUGGACGCCUACACCUGUACAGCUUCAAAUUCUUGAGCAGAUCUUUGAUGAGGGCAAUGGGACCCCUAGCAAGCAGAAGAUCAAGGAUAUAACUCUACAGCUGACACAACAUGGUCAAAUUUCAGAAGCAAACGUCUAUAAUUGGUUUCAAAAUAGAAGGGCUCGUUCAAAAAGAAAGCAAGCAAACUCAUUACCAAAUAAUGCAGACUCAGAACCAGAGACAGAAGUUGAUUCUCCAAAGGAGAAAAAGACUAAACCAGAAGCCUUCCAAACUUAUGAACAUUUGGUUCCGAAGUCCGGCAAUAUGUACUCCCAGAGAACUGAUUUAAGUACUGAAAUACUUUCCUUUGAUGCGCAGUCGAAUAAAGGGGAGCCCAUGUUUCAGUCUUUCGGAUCUGGUCAUACCAGUCAGAUGACUCCAAUACAAAAUCAUAGUAUGUCACUCUGUUUUUUCAAGAGCUAUACAUUUGAACAUUUCUUGAAUUUUCUUCAUCGGAAAUUUCCAUAAUGCAGCAAUUAUAUAUGAGUAUGCUCAAUCAAACAUAUAUCAUUUGUUGGUGUCUAAUUCAACUUGUCAAUGUGCAGGAAAUAAUAUGUCGAAUGAUAAAAUGAACGUACCAGACUACUCUCCAUACACUCCUUGUGAAGGAUAUCACUUGGUCGAGUGACUGCUUGCCUUGAAGCUCAUCCUGGAGGAAUGUGCGAACUGACACAGUACAUAUUACACUGCAUGUAUAAGGAAAUUAAAUUUUGAAAAUGCUUGUAAGGCAUUUUAUAUACGUGGUUAUGAACUAUAUAGCUUAUAGUACUGCUUGAAACCAAAUUUUGAAGGAUUUGAUUAAAUACGUUACGUUACGUUUUGGUACGAAAGUGUUGUUUUCCUGCAAUUUUCGUUAUUUGCUUGAUUCAGCUUGCAUGAUAAUUAAUUUUGCACCUGAGACGUAACAGACUGUCGACUCACCUAAUCCCUGCAAGUGGAUCAUAAACAAAAUGGUAAAAAUCAUAACUAAUGAAUUUACAACGGAAACCAACCUUGAAUUUGACUCCUCUCCCUGAGAAGUUUCAUCUCUAGUCCAAGUGCUGCACAAAAGAUGUAGAACUCAAAACAGACCUGUAGUUGCGUCUGAUGAAUUAACUAGCCAAAUGGCUAGAAAGUCGUACAUGUUGCAACUUGCAACUUCAUCCGGAAUAAUGAUCAAUAUUCAUGGCAAGUUUUAUUUUUUCUUGAAUGAUAAAAACAUUUACGAGAGACUAUGAAGUUAAACCCAUAACACUAAAUUCAGAAAAUUUCCACUUUGAGAUCAACAAUCAUACCCUCGAUAAGGCAUGGGAAUUGUCUAACAUUAUUACUAGAGGGGAUCUACAAUGCUGUCCUAUCCAAAACAGUGACAGCCUGACAAAACAAUCAUGCAGAAACUAUACAGAGGGCUUCACAACCCGGAAACAAAUGAUUAAGAUAAAUAUGUAGUCAACUUUACAACUGUAGUAUAAAUGGACAUAGAUUAAGAGGUUCUUUUGUCUAGACACACACAAAAGCUUCCACCUUAGCUGCAUUCUUUGAAUGGUGAAUUUGACCGAUAGAAAUUGCCAGAUCUCCCAUUAUAUCACCACGUAAACAUCCAGGCGAUCUUAUUAGCCUGGACUGCAGCCCAAAACAGUGGUUAAAUUAAGCCAAGCAGAAUGCCUCUAGAUGAGUACUUCAUGAAGAUCCUUUCCUUCUGACUUUCAAUUUAGUAGACCUCCAGCCGCCUGAGGUUAGCGGGCUAGGGGAGUAUGAAAAAUUUUCAAUGGGUUCCAUGACGGCAUACUUACUCUUCGCUGAGCUACUAACGGGUGAUACUUCCUGCAAUAAAAUUUUGGAAUCAUAGUCAGCCAUCGUACUGAUUUUAAUUCAUGCCGCAGUAACUAGUUAAUUAACUUUAAUUUCUCAUUAUAUCACAAUCGUUUACCUUGUUUAUUGAAGCCUUUCCUGUAUCAGCUUUGAGGUCUUGGAUCUCCAAACAAUCCACGAAAAACAUCACCUGCAAAAUGAGGAGACGAGAAAUGUAACCAAAAAAACUGUGGAUAAAACUGUCAUGAUAAAGUUUGAGAUGUUGAAACACAAAAAAUUCAUAGUCAUCUUCACAAAAUAUUAGAACUGAAUAACACGUACUUUAUUAAGUAAUGGAAUAUUCGAUGCAUCGGUUGCCAUGAUCUGUACACCAAUGCAAUUGUCACUGUAACAGAAGGGGCAAAAGACAUAAUUGUAUACACAACCAUCCUCCUCACUCCAUAUACCACGUCCUGAAUUUUUCGAAGACCUAACUAGGAGCCUCUGGUUAACAAACAAGAUGUCUGUAAUAAUAAGCUGUAUACUUGCUGACGAAUUGGCAGUUUGAGCUUUAAACCUUUCCUCAUAUAUUGAUAUUAAGUGUGUUUUUGAUGAUACCGUAAAUGAGCAUGUUAUGUUUAAAUGGUUCUCUGGGCGACCGAGUGGGCUUCUACAAAGUGCACAAGAUAGAUGCAACUUUUUGUCCAUUGGAAGGCCAGAAGACAGAUAAACAGGACUAGUAUCAUUUAGCUUGGGCAUUUGUGUGACAUUUAAACCGUUAGACUUCUUUUCCGUGAGAAGAAUUUCAUAAUUAGUAUCUUUUGGGCUAGUCAAAUUUCUGCUGAUUAUUGAGCUUCUGUCCACACUGUUACAUUCGGGAUUUUUGGUUUUGGGAUCAGUAAGAAACUCUUCUUGAGCAAGUUUCGUAAUAGUUAUACCCAUGGACUUCCUUCUUUUCUGGGUAUGAGAAUUUACACUCAUAUUCAAAGAAGAUUCUGUAUCUUGUGCAAAGCUGUAGGCAUUCACAGAAACAUUUCUUUCAGGAGUAUUCAGCAUUGAAGUUUCAGAUGUAAGAGGAGAUCUUGUUGAUUUGAUCAGAGGUAAUGACUGAUGUGAUAAUUGAUCAGAAAGCUCAGAAUAUGCCUCAAUUACAGUUGAAGUCGAUCUUUCAUCUUUGGAUUCUCUGGGACUAGUGGCGCCAACAAUAUCAACACAAGGAGUCUCCUGAACAAUUGGGGAAUCUGGAACUUCAAGAACGGUAUUCAUAGACAGAAACUCAUGGUUCCUGCAAUAUGCAGUUGUUCAAGACCAUUGCAAAUGAAAAAUGAAUACUGAUUGCUGAGUAGGGAGGUAAUAAGAACACCAAAUUAUAAAGGCAUGAUAACUAAUCAACCUUCUGACUACAGUUCCUGUACAAACGUUGUUAGUGUUAAAUCAAAUUAUGCACCAACAUGGAAAAGCUAAUGAAUUUUCAGCUCUUCGUAGGCCAUGCCAAAAAAACACUUUAGCAAAUGGAGUUCAUAUUUACCUCGUUUCUGUUUCAACACUGCACUCCAGAUCAAUUAUACAGUUUUUCACAUCUUCAUGAGCCUGAAAUAAAGCUUGUCAUCAAUAUCAACUAGAAAUUUCGAUUGAAAAGAACAGGUAUGAUACUUUAUCAUUUUAGUACUAACUUUCUGCCCACGAUGAUUAAACUUGUCGAAUUUCCCUAUCUUCAUUCUUCUACGACUACUUGGGCAGGUAGAAGUAAUAUGCUCCUCAUUCUCAGAAUUUGGCAACUCACUUUCUUUAUUGUUGCUAAUCCGCUCCUAAAAUGAAACCCAACAAUAAUGUACCGUGAUUUAUUGCCUGACCAUAAGUAUGUAAAGGAAGAAAUUAACACAGAAGAAGCAAGGACAAUAUGUUCCAGACCUUAAUGUGGCUGAAAAAGGAUUUCAGCUCCUCCAUAGACUGUUCAAAGUUAUCAAAUUGUUUAAUGGAUUUUCUUAGCCACUUAGAAAUGUAAGUCCUGUUCCUCUCUUCCUGGAAACGCUCAUCUAUUUGCCCAAAAUAAAAGAAAGGGUGAAGAGCUAUGGGAGAUUUGUGUUAAGAAAUGAGUCUACAGUGGAAAGUACUCUUUUAAGAAAUAACAAGGAAAUUUUAGAUUUAUCAACAUGAAUAUAAGAAAUACAAUAUUGAAACCAUAGAACUAGUUAAAAUGUUACGGCCAAGGAAUGACAGUGAUAGACCCCCGAUAUUAUAUCAGUAAAGUAGGAGAGAGAAAGAAGUAACACGUGUGUGUAACACGUGAGGGAUAAAAUGAGGUUUAGAAGUUAGUAUAAAUAAAGGCCAAUAGAGGGGCGGGAAAGUUAGUUAAGAUUUGAGUAAGGAGAGAGACUUUCACUGUUCUUCCUUGAAAGAGAGGUUAACAAUAGAAGUGAGGAGAGACUGUAAUCAGAUUCUAUUUCCAUUCACUAUCAAUAAUAUUACAUUCAUAUUACUACCUAUGAUUUCCAUCAGGCAGCUUCCAAGCAAGUUUUGGAGGUCUUGUGUUCGAGUUAAAUGGCUUGAUUUCUUCCUCUAACCAGCACAAACAAUCAUGCAUACAGCCUGACCAGUGAAGCUCGUAUUUUUAAUAGACAAUAGAAGAAGUGAAAUUAAAGAAUUAUUACCUAAUAGCAUAAUGGCACCAUAGUCAAAUUUGUGUCGAAUACAACGUCCUACAGAAAGAAAUUGUUACAAAUUAUAGCAAGGUUAUUUGCAUGAUGCCACUCCACAUGAGCACCAAGAAAAUGAAAAUAAAUAACAGCUACAAGCUAUACCUGCAGCUUGAUUUAGAGCUCGAAAGGCCUGUUGACAAUACCACUCGUUUCCACUUAAAAGGUUUUUGGACAUUUUAUAUGCGUCAUUGAACUUUUUCUUCAAUGCAACUUGAAUAUCAUUUCUGAAAGGAAUUAUAAACAAAUAAUCAAAAUAUUGUAUGGUAUAUUUUCUUUCCAAAAAAAAUAAGUUAAGGAUAAAGUUCUUACACAUUUGGAAAUGGAAUACCAACUAUUAUCUGAAUAUGUUAGUUAAGAAUUUCUAUAAAUAUAAAUAAAAAGCAAAUGUUCAACUUCACUGACACUGACUUCAUGACUUACAAGUCAAAUUCAUUCAUAAUAUGACAACGGACCCAAGGCAAUCUCCAACACUAGGAAAGAUAGAUGAUGCUUAAAAGAGGAAAGGAUACAACCACUCUAGCAUUAUCAUCAGAAAAGUCUAUUCCUUCUGAAACCUGCAAGUACAACAAAGCAAUUUAGGAUAUGUAAAUCACAUUAUAACAUCAAUUCAUGGAUCUUUUUAUUUUAAGAUCUAAUUAGAUAUUUAAACGUCUUAGUUUAAUUUUCAAGAACCAAGCUGAGGGUCAUACUGAAACUGGCGACUUCUUCUUAUUGAAGAUCAUUGCUAAAUGAAGUUCUUACAUAUUUCUUAACAAGAGGAAAAGAAAAGAAAAACAUAUGAUGCGUGCAAAACUGCAAGCUGCAUAUAAACAUUCGUAGUUGUUUUGAGCCGUCAGGACAACAAGGUUUAUCAUUGCCAUUAAGAAACAUGGAAAAGCGGUUGAACAUCAAGUAAUCAAAAGGAACACACCUUUCCUCGAAAAACUGCAAGGAGUGCUGCACCCUCCUUGGGAUUUUCACAGCCAACCACAUACGAGUCAUUGGGUUUGACCUUCUUGCCUCGACUCUUUUUCCCAAUUGCAAAGUUAUCACCAAGACGUAUAGUAUCAUAAUAACCUUUCAAUAUGGAAUCAAAAUCCUCUUGAGCUCCUCCUCUUGGCUCUGUACAAAACCAUUGAAAAGAUUUGAAUUCUUAAUGCAACAUGCAGAAAGAAAAAGAAAAAUUAAUAAAUAUAGGUACGCAAGAAACAUUAUAUAAUUCAACUCGUCUCGAAUGACAAAAUACCAGCAAAAUAUAUAUACACUAGCCUAAAAUAAGUUUUCCAGUGCGUAUCUUACCAACAAAAAGGGACUUCCUUGCAUUCAGUCGAGACCAUUGGCCAGUUUCAGACCAACGAUUUUGGAGUUUCUCCAUCAGCUUAUAACUGGGGAAGAACACAAGACAGCCACCAGGAGCGAUGAAAAAUAUCUCCUCUAAUGAUUUUCCUAGAGCAUCCUUUAAGAAAAUGGCCAGUAUAAGACAAGAAAAACCUAACAUAUAAAUUUACAUCGAUCACGAAGUUCCAAAAAUACCUGGAAUGCAUAUCCAUCAGCUGUUUUAUAACUUCCAUUCAGCGGAUAGUUUCCUGGACCAGUUGAUAUAACAGCUGGCCACACCUGCAGUACAAUUGUUGAUAGGUCAAAAUUUAACAGUUGCUGGAAUGGAAAAACCAGAAAUAAGAAAAGUCCACUUGAACCUGAGAUUCCACAUCAAUCACGUGAGGAGCUUCCAGUGAAGUUCCAAACUGAACUCCUAGUUCAGAUGAAAAGGAAUUCAUCGGUGACAGGGUCCUAAUUAUUUGAAAUCAGAAAUGAUUAAUUGUCUUCUUCGGCACAUAUAUAAUAUACCUUACCAAAAGAAAAUGUAGGAAAGAGAGAAAGCACUGUAAAAUUUAAAGAAGCAUCUAAAUUUUCAUACUUUCAAGCGUCAACUCAAUAUAGUCUAGAAAUCUGCUAAACAACCAACUUAUAGUCAAUCUAACAACUCUAAUCAUUGAGAAACUGCAGGUUUUAUUCUUCCAAAAGAAGAGGAUAUGUUAAAAUUGAAUUUAACAUGGCUGAAGAGCAUGGCUGUAGAAGCCAAGAAUGAAGAUAUUUUAUAGACUGCAUAAACUAUAUGAUACAUCAUAUUCCACUUUUCAAGUUUAUGUGCUCACCCAGAUGUCAAAAUAACCGAUAAGGAAAGAUCACUAAUGUCUCUAAAUACAACAGCUGGAUUCAAGCACCACAAACUUAAAGUAACCGUCCAUUCAGCAUAAGCUUUUCCUGAAAUAAAAUACAAAUAUAAUUUUGUAAAAAAAAAUUGUUUGUACAAAUAAACAAAAAAAAAAAAACUAAAACCAUUUCAAACUAAAAAAAAGGUGACAAGAGUUUUCUUUCUUAUUCUCAAGGUAUAAGAUCCAGUGAAAACUGUCUUCUCUUGAAAAGCCUAAUAGCAAGUCAGUUAUAGUCUCCAGAUAACAUCAGACAAACUAAUUAAAAAAAGGUAACAGAACUAUAACCAAUGGCUGAAAGUUAUGACAAGCUGUGAAUUAAGAAGACUGAGCAACUGAUUACCAGGAUCUCUUUUAAUGUAGCGUUGUAAUGCAAGCUGGUAGUCAGACAUGUGGCAACCAUUUCUUGAGAAGAAAUAUGUCAGUGAAGAGAAUAAUCCUGCAUCGUAUAAAUUGGUCAACGUCGAAAGUUUGAUAUAAAAAUAAAGCAAAUGUUGCACAUAGUAGUCUCUUACCUUCCAGUGUUAUCACUGACAGGCCACUCAAAUGUGCAUCAUCUGACUCGGUAUCUGAAGCUGCUUUAAUAGCCUUAAACAAGCAUACAGUGAAACUUCAAGGUAAUGAGAAUAAAAUGAAAGGUCCCCCAAAUAAUUCAAAGAACCCAACAGAAUCAGGAUACCUUUGUUGCACAUUCGAGCAAAAUGGGGAAGCAUUGUUGAGUUAUAUUAGCUUCUUGGAGCUCCCUUUGAGCAUGAUUUCCAGUCCAACUACAACAUUCAUAAACGUAGAAAUGGAAUAUCUCAUAGACCUAUGUUGUCAAACUGAUACCAACUACUAGAGAGGUCGAAUGCACCAUUUUUAGAAAAGAGUAAGUCAGACAUGCAUGUUUAUUGAAGGGCUCAAAGUGUGAAAAGAAACACAUUUAAUCUGAAAUCUAUACCCAAAAUGUUUUAAAUGCACAAUCUACACCAAGAAAUUCAGUUUAAAUCAAUUUCGUCCAUGGAUCAAAGAAUCUUGAAUGAGAAAAAGUGAAUUAUAUGAUAUUAUGUUCUAAAUACACCAAUAUAAUGCAAAGAAAAACUAUAUGCAACUAAGAAAUCAAAUGCUACAGCAAAACCAGUAAGAUUUUCUUUCUUCACUCACCAGGUGACAUAAUGCUGAAACUCGCGCUUUUGCAAUGUGGUCUUCCUCUGGUCAAUCCAACUUGUGAGAUCCUAAAAGUUCAGUUAGACUUCUAAAUAUCAAAAGAUCUUCUGAGAUGUUUGCAAAUAAUUCUAAUUAAUUAUACUAAUUACCUGUGUCAUUUCAUACAGAGGCUGGUAAACCAAAGAAUCAAUAGGACAUAGGUCCUCCAACUCCAUCUGCAAUUCUUUGAAAGAUGUGAAAUGCAAGCCAUGAGAAAAUAUUUUUCUCAACUCAUCAAACAAAAUAGUAUAAUUUCAGUGACUUACUAUUUAAAGUAUCCUCUUCAAUAUCCACACUACCACCAUGACGUGCAAUAUCCUCUAUAUUGCUGAAAAGUGAAAACAGAAUAAACUAAUUAAUUGUCUGCAUUUGCCACCUAUCUCAUGAACUUACCAUCAAACUGAGGUAAAAGGAAACACAUAAUGUAUGGAUGCUAGUACACAUACUGGGCUUCAUCAAAGAUCACGAUUGCACCCUUAAUAUCUACAUCCAUUGCUCCUCGAAUAACUGGAUUGAUAAUAUAGCUAUAUGGGCAAAACACCAGCUGCGCGUCGUCUGCCAUAGAGCGAGCUGCAUAAUAUGAACAACCUAAAGAGGAUAAAGAAAUUAAGUUAAAUAAGUGAUGACAACAUAAGACAGGUUAAACACCUAAAAGAUCAAGGAUUAACCUUUUACAGCUUCUCCAACUUUCACCAAAUCUUCAAUGUCAUGAACCUCAUGACAUCCUCCUUUCUGAAGAGUUGGAUGACAUUUAACCUUGUUUGCGUUUCUUUUAGAGAAAUGAAAAGUAUUUAUCUUCCUUUGUUGAUCGCCUUAAGUCAAGUAAUAAUUGAGAGAAAUAAAUUGAUGAAGAAAUGGGAUAAAGAUAACUCACUUAAAUUCACUGCAUCCUGCAAUUUGAUCCUUCAAAAGUAGUUUGCUGGUAGAGUACAACAAAUUUUACAGUGAAAAGGAGAAUAUAAAAUGAAUUAACUGGAAAAAGACAAAGAAAGAAAGAAAAAGGUGCCUUUAAGAGAAAUAUGCACCAUUCUUCAUCCAAAUUAUCUUUUCCUCGUACAUAAGGAUUUGUGCAUAGAUGUUUCCUUGAUGCCUGAUGAUAAGAAGGGGGUUAGUAAGAUAACAGUAAAGUAUAACCUAACAAGGACCACCCAGAAAUGUAUUGCAGCUGAACCAUAUCUGACAGGAGAGGAAGUCAGGGGAUUCUUACAACCCAAAACCAGCUAAUUCAACUUCUCAAAUUUCUUCAAUGCAUAAUCUCAUACAAUAUGUACACACACACACGUGUUAAAGCGGUGACAUACCAACACUGCCAUUGGCACUCGAUAGGCAGUUUUCCUAUACUCACGAAUCACCUGUGAUAUCUGUGAAUGUGUCCUCCUUGAAUAAGAAAACGUAAAGCAUUAGCAUCAAAUGUAGAUGACAAAAAUAAUUUUCCAAGCCCUUGUUUCAAAUUGCAGUAAGUUGAACUUACGAGGCGUAGUAUAUAGUCGGGGCUGUUUUUUUCUUCUGACUUUUGUUGUUUGGCCCUGGAAGAGACGACUCAGUAUCUGUAGACAGUAGAAAACCCAACAUAUUCCUCAGAAGAAGUAACUGGCCCAUAAAACACAAAAAGCAUAAAAAAUCAAAUAUAUGUUAUAAGAAAGAAAGAAAAAAGUGAGUAAGGUUAAUCUAUUGUCAGCUGAGGUUCUUCCAUCAGAAGAAAUUUCAGUACAAAUGACAAAGAGCCCCAUGUAAAAGAAAAGCUUCCGAUCAUCCGCAUUUCACAAUGGCUAUUUUUCAGUAAUCGUUUAAAAGAUGAUAUUCCAUGGUAAAUAGAAGAAAAACAAUUUGUUCCAACCUUAGUGUGCCCACGUAUUAUUUCACUCUUUCUCAACGUUAUCCGUCCAUAAAAAGAAAAGGCAAAAAGAAAAAACCAACCAUCCCAAGAUCAAUUAACCGUCCAAAGAGGUAGCGAUUUUAAGAUACUUAACACUUUUUGUUGCAAGCGAUGCGCAACGAAAUAUAUGUCGUCCUAAGCUAUUGCCCUAAAUAUAAUAUCCUCACGGUAUAAGCCUGAAGAGCUCGCAAGGGGAACCCAGUAACACAAAAAUAAAAAUGUCCAUGAACUUUAAACCAAUCUUUUCUAUGUCUCUACCUGACCACUCAAUUGAAUUCGUGCAUUCGAGAUGUUCGGAUAAUCAGGGUAAAGACAUGCAAACUUACUUGGCGUCUGCACUUCGGGAAUGAAUCCACCGCCAAAACCGAGAGGAUCUGUGGCAGCCUCUGGAGCAGCCUUCGUGUGACAGGGAUUAGCAUCCGGAUUCUUUAUCUUGUAAUUCUUCUGCCAAGCAAGACUAGAGCAGAGAAGUGAAAGUGACUUCCCGGUUCCAGUCGGAGAUUCCAGCAACGCGUGGCAAUGGCCCUCUCGCUGAGCUCGAUCAAGGGUGGAUAUAACUCUGCCCAUGAACGCAAGCUGCGAACCGUAUGGUCGGAAUGGAAAUUCCACUUGGAUGCCACCAAUCGGGUAAACAUUCUUCGUGAGCUGAUAAGUUGGAUUGGGCUUGGAUUUGGGGUUCGUCCCCCCUUUUGCAUAUACCAUUUUGGCAGUGUUGCACAGGACUUGCCGGGUGGGAAUAUUCGAACUCCUUGAGAGCUACCUAGCUUGGUAAACUACACGAUCGACGAUGGAGUUCUGUGAUGGGUUCGAUUUGGUGGUGGUUUCUUGGAAAGCUUUGGCGGGAAAAGUUAGGGUUUAUCGUACUUGAAAUUGGCGGUAAACAGUAUAAUUGGUUCACCUUGCAAUGAACGGUGAGGCUCUUGUUUGAAAAGACUCUUCUGUCCUUUGUGGCCAACGUCCGUAAAGGUUACCGUUUAGGCCGAAUUGAAAUCGUUUCUUUCUUUUUCUUUGGUAAUGCAACCGAUGAUUUGGUACCAUUUUUAAGAUAAUUAAUAUUUGGAAACAUUCUAUUUAAAAUAGUAAAAUAAAUUAAAAUAUUUACAAAUUAUCGGAAAAUUUUAGAUUUUAUUGGAUAAAAUUCGUUAUAGAUUAUAAAUAUUUUUUAAAAAAAUUAAAUAUUUAAUUAAGAUAUAUCUUUUAAUGUCUUAUUUUCAAUUAUACCUGUAAGCAAUCCAAUUUUCAAUCGAGUUUUUUCCUCCAUGAGGAGAAUAUCUCAAUUUUCUCGAUUUCAAUAAAAUUUAUAGAAAAAAUUGAUAGUUUAAGAAAUAGUACCAAAUUACUAUUUUUAUUUGAUGUGCUUGCAUUGACAUUUACACAUGUAUUUUGGGUAUAACAUAUAAGACUACUUUAUCGAUUUGUAGUGAAAAUUGGAAUAAUAAUGAAAUUUCAUUAGUAAAUCAAUUCCAAUAAACGGUGAAUCACAAACACAAUUCAUUGUUUUGGAUUGCUUUUACCUAAAAAGAUGAGUUUUAUCAAAUUUAAUAUUACCAUUGUGGUUUAGGUUAUGUUAUAUGGUUAUACAAAUCAUAACAGAAACGGUACCAAAAAAGAUUAAUUAUAAUAUAUAGAGUAUAGCUUGUGACAAUAAUUAAAAAGAUGAUACCUUUCAAAUAAAUAUAAAGCUUAUUCUAAUUAUAAUCAACACUAUGAUCAGAAUUUAAAAGAAAAUACAUACAGAAAUAUUGAUUAAAAGAUCAUAACGUGAUUUAUUGUUUGACCAUAGGCAUGUAAAGGAAGAAAAUAACACAGAACCAAGGAAAAAUGUGGCUGAAAAGGGAUUUCAGCUCCUCCAUAGACUGUUCAAAGUUAUCAAAUUGUUUAAUCGAUUUUCAUAGCCACUUUGAAAUGUACGAGAGAGAUCAUGAAGCUAAACCCAAAACACUAAAUUCAAAAAAUUUCCAGUUUGAGAUCAACAAUCAUACUCUCGAUAAGGCAUGGAAAUUGUGUUAACAUUAUUGAUAGAGGGAAUCUACAAUGCUGUCCUAGCUAUAACAACAUGAUAGCAUGACAAAACAACCAUGCAGAAACUAUACAGAGGGAUUCACAACCCGGAAACAAAAGAUCGAGAUAAAUAUGCAGUUAACUUUACAAUAUUAGUACAAAUGAUCAUAGAUUAAGAGAUUUUUUCGUCCAGACGCACACCGACUCUUCUACCUUAGCUGCAUUCUUUGAAUGGUGAGUUUGACCGAUAGAAAUUGCCAGAUCUCCCAUUAUAUCAUCAUGUAAACAUCCAGGCGAUCUUAUUAGCUUGGUCAGCAGCCCAGGACAGUGGUUAAAUUAAGCCAAGCAGAAUGCAUCUAGACGAGUACUUCAUGAAGUUCCUUUCCUUCUGACUUUCAAUUUAGUAGACCUCCAGCCGCCUGAGGUAAGUGGGCUAGCGGAGUAAGAAAACUUUUAAAUGGGUUCCAUGACAGGCAUACUUAUUCUUAGUUGAGCUACUAGCGGAUGAUACUUCCUGCAAUAAAAUUUGGAAAUCAAAGACAGCUAUCAUACUGAUUUUAGUUCAUGCCACAGUAACUAGUUAAUUAACCUUAAUUUCUCAUUAUAUCACAAUCGUUUACCUUGUUUAAUCAAGCCUUUCCUGUAGCAGCUUGGAGCUGAGGUCUUGGAGCCGAGGUCUUGGAGCUGAGGUCUUGGAUCUCCAAACACCCCACGAAAAACAUCACCUGCAAAAUGAGGAGACGAGAAAUGUAACCAAAAAGAAGUUGUGGAUAAAACUGUCGUGAUAAAGUAUGAGAUGUUGAAAAUAAAAAAAAAAAAUCCAUAUUCAUCUUCUUGAAAUAUUAGAACUGAAUAACAUGUACCUUAUAAAGUAACGGUAUAUUUGAUGCAUUAGUUGCCAUGAUCUGUACACCAAUACAAUUGUCACUGAAACAGAAGGGGCAAAAGACUUAAUUGUAUACACAACCAUCCUCCUCACUCCAUAUACCACAUGCUGAAUUUUUCGAAGACCUAACUAGGAGUCUCUGGUUAAUAAACAAGAUGUCUGUAAUAAUAAGCUGUAUACUUGCAGACGAAUUGGCAGUUUGAGCUUUAAACCUUUCCUUAUAUAUCGAUAUUAAGUGUGUUUUUGAUGAUACAGUAAAUGAGCACGUUAUGUUUAAGUGGUUCUCUGGGCGACCGAGUGGGUUUCUACAAAGUGCACAAGAUAGAUGCAACUUUUUGUCCUUCGAAGGCCAGGUGACAGAAAAACAGGAACAGUAUCAUUUAGCUUGGGCACUUGUGUGACAUUUAAACUGUUAAACUUCUUCUGUGAGAAGGAUUUCAUCACUAGUAUCUUUUGGGCUAGUCAAAUUUCCACUGAUUGCUGAGCUUCUGUCCACACUGUUACAUUCGUGAUUUUUGGUUUUGGGAUCAGUAACAAACUCUUCUUGAGAAAUAUCAACUGUACAGUUUUUCACAUCUUGGUGACCCUGAAAUAAAGCUUGUCGUCAAUACCAACUAGAGAUUUCGAUUGAAAAAAACAGGUAUUGUACUUCAUUAUUUUAGUACUAGCCUUCUGCCCACGAUAAUUAAACUUGUCAAAUUCCUCUAUCUUCGUUCUUCUACAACUACUUGGGCAGGUAGAAGUAAUAUGCUCCUCAUUCACAGAUUUUGGCAACUCACUUUCUGUCUUGUUGCUAAUGCGCUCCUAAAAUGAAACCCAACAAUAAUGUACCGUGAUUUAUUGCCUGACCAUAAGUAUGUAAAGGAAGAAAUUAACACAGAAGAAGCAAGGACAAUAUGUUCCAGACCUUAAUGUGGCUGAAAAAGGAUUUCAGCUCCUCCAUAGACUGUUCAAAGUUAUCAAAUUGUUUAAUGGAUUUUCUUAGCCACUUUGAAAUGUAAGUCCUGUUCCUCUCUUCCUGGAAACGCUCAUCUAUUUGCCCAAAACGAAAGAAAGGGUGAAAAGCUGUGGGAGAUUUGUGCAUUAAAUAACCUCAUGACUCUACCAUGGAAAAUACUCUUUUAAGAAUGACAAGGAAAUUUUAGAUUUAUCGACAUGAAUAUAGGAAAUACAAUAAUGAAACCAUAGAACUAGCUAAAAUGUUGUGGCCAAGGAAUGGCAGGUUCCAAGCAAGUUUUGGAGGACUUAUGUACGAGUUAAAUAGCUUGAUUUACCCAGCACAAACAAUCUUAUAGUUAAUAGGCAAUGGAACAAGUUAAAUUAAGGCAAUUAUUACCUAAUAGCACAAUGGCACCAUAGUCAAAUUUGUGUCGAAUACAUCGUCCUACACAAAGAAAUUGUUACAAAUUAUAGCAAGGUUAUUUGCAUGAUGCCACUCCACAUGAGCAACCAAGAAAAUGAAAAUAAAUGACAACAGCUACAAGCAAUACCUGCAGCUUGAUUUAGAGCUCGAAAGGCUUGUUGACAAUACCACUCAUUUCCACUUAAAAGGUUUUUGGACAUUUUAUAUUUGUCAUUGAACUUUUUCUUCAAUGCAACUUGAAUACCAUUUCUGAAAAGAAUUAUAAAUAAAUAAUCAAAAUAUUGUAUGGUAUAUUUUUUUUCCCCAAAAGUAAAGUAAGGAUAAAGUUCUUACAUAUCUGGAAAUGGAAUACCAACUAUUAUCUGAAUAUGUUCGUUAAGAAUUUCUCUAAAUAAAUAUUAAAUGUUCAACCUUACUGACACUGACUUCAUGACUUACAAGGCCAAUUCAUUCAUAUUAUGACAAUGGGCCUAAGGCAAUCCCCAACACAAGGAAAGGUAGAUGAUGCAUAAAAGAGGGAAGGAUACAACCACUCUAGCAUUAUCAUCAGAAAAGUCUAUUCCUUCUGAAACCUGCAAGCAAAACAAAGCAAUUUAGGAUAUGCAGAUCAUAUUAUAAAAUCAAUUUAUGGAUCUUUUUAUUUUAAGAUCUUAUUAGAUCAUUAAAUGUCUUUUUUUUUCAAGAACCAAGCUGAGAGUCAUACUGAAAUUGGCAACUUCCACCUAUUGAAUAAUUGUUAAAUGAAGUUCUUACAUAUUUCUUAACAAGAGGAAAAGAAAAGAAAAACAUAUGAUGCGUGCAAAACUGGAAGCUUCAUAUAAACAUUCAUAGUUGUUUUGUGCCGUCAGGACAACAAGGUUUUAUCAUUGCCAUUAAGAAACAUGGAAAAGUAGUUGAACUUCAAGUAAUCAAAACGAACACACCUUUCCUCGAAAAACUGCAAGGAGUGCUGCACCCUUGGGAUUUUCACAGCCAAAAACAUACGAUUCAUCGGGUUUGACCUUCUUCCCAACUGCAAAGUUAUCACCAAGACGUAUAGUAUCAUAAUAACCUUUCAAUAUGGAAUCAAAAUCUUCUUGAGCUCCUCCACAUGGCUCUGUACAAAACCAUUAAAAAGAUUUGAAUUCUUAAUGCAACACGUAGAGAAAAAAAGAAAAAUUAAUAAAUAUAGGUAUGCAAGAAACAUUAUAGAAUUCAACUCAUCUUGAAUGACAAAAUACCAACAAAAUAUAUAUACACUAGCCUAAAUAAGUUUUCCAGUGCGUAUCUUACCAACAAAAAGGGACUUCCUUGCAUUCAGUCGAGACCAUUGACCAGUUUCAGACCAACGAUUUCGGAGUUUCUCCAUCAGCUUAUAACUGGGGAAGAACACAAGACAGCCACCAGGAGCGAUGAAAAAUAUCUCCUCUAAUGAUUUUCCUAGAGCAUCCUUUAAGAAAAUGGCCAGUAUAAGACAAGAAAACCUAACAUAUAAGUUUAAAUCGAUUAUGAAGUUCCAAAAAUACCUGGAAUGCAUAUCCAUCAGCUGUUUUAUAACUUGCAUUCAGCGGAUAGUUUCCUGGACCAAUUGAUAUAAUAGCUGGCCACACCUGCAGUACAAUUGUUGAUAUAUAGGUCAAAAUUUAACAGUUGCUGGAAUGGAAAAACUAGAAAGUAAGAAAAGUCCAUUUGUACCUGAGAUUCCACAUCAAUCACGUGAGGAGCUUCCAGUGAAGUUCCAAACCGAACUCCUAGUUCAGAUGAAAAGGAAUUCAACGGUGACAGGGUCCUAAUUAUUUGAAAUCAGAAAUGAUUAAUUGUCUUCUUAGGCACAUAUAUAAUAUACCUUACCAAAAGAAAAUGUAGGAGAGAGAGAAAGCACUGUAAAAUUUAAAGAAGCAUCUCAAUUUUCAUACUUUCAAGCGUCAACUCAAUAUAGUCUAGAAAACUGCUAAAUAACUGACUUAUAGUCAAUCUAACAACUCUCAUCAUUGAGAACCUGCAGGUCAUAUUCUUCCAGAAGAAAGGAGAAUAUGUUAAAAUUGAAUUUAACAUGGCUGUAGAAGCCAAGAAUGAAGAUAUUUUAUAGACUGCAUAAACUAUAUGAUACAUCAUAUUCCACUUUUCAAGUUUUAUGUGCUCACCCAGAUGUCAAAAUAACCGAUAAGGAAAGAUCACCAAUGUCUCUAAAUACAACAGCUGGAUUCAAGCACCACAAACUUAAAGUAACCGUCCAUUUAGCACAAGCUUUUUCUGAAAUAAAAUAUAAACAUAACUUUUAUAAAAACUAUAUAUGUAAAAACAAACAAAAAAAAUUAAACUAUUUCAAACUAAAAAAAAGGCGGCUGAAAGUUAUGGUGGGCAGUGAAUUAAGAAGACUAAGCAACUGAUUACCAGGAUCUCUUUUAGUGUAGCGUUGUAAUGCAAGCUGGUAGUCAGACAUGUGGCAACCAUUUCUUGAGAAGAAAUAUGUCAAAGAAGAGAAUAAUCCUGCAUUGUAUAAAUUGGUCAAUGUUAAAAGUUUGGUAUAAAAACAAAGCAAAUGUUGCACACGGUAGUCUCUUACCUUCCAGUGUUAACACUGACAGACCACUCAAAUGUGCAUCAUCUGACACCGUAUAUGAAGCUGCUUUAGUAGCCUUAAACAAGCAUAUGGUGAAACUUUAAGAUAAUGAGAGCAAAAAGAAAGGUCCCUCACAUAACUCAAAGAACCCAACCGAAUCAGGAUACCUUUGUUGCACAUUCGAGUAAAAUGGGGAAGCAUUGUUGAGUUAUAUUAGCUUCUUGGAGCUCCCUUUGAGCAUGAUUGCCAGUCCAACUACAACAUUAAUAAACGUAGAAUAGGAUAUCUCAUAGACGGAUGUUGUCAAACUGAUAUCAACCACUAGAGAGGUCGAAUGCACCAUUUUUAGAAAAGAAUAAGUCAGAAUGCAUGUUUAUUGAAGGACUCAAAGUGUGAAAAGAAACACAUUUAAUCUGAAAUCUAUACCCAAAAUGUUUUAAAUGAUAAUCUACAUCAAGAAAAUCAGUUUAAAUCAAUUUCUUCCUUGGAUCUAAGAAUUUGGAAUAAGAAAAAGUGAAUUAUAUGAUAUUAUGUUUUAAAUACACCAAUAUGAUGCAAAGAAAAACUAUAUGCAACUAAGAAAUUAAAUGCUACAGCAAAACCUGUAAAAUUUUCUUUCUUAACUCACCAGGUGACAUAAUGCUGAAACUCGCGCUCCUGCAAUGUGGUCUUCCUUCGGUCAAUCCAACUUUUGAGAUCCUAAAAGUUCAGUUAGACUUCUAAAUAUCAAAAGAUCUUUUGAGAUGUUUGCAAAUAAUUAUAAGUAAUUAUACUAAUUACCUGUGUCAUUUCAUACAGAGGCUGGUAAACCAAAUAAUUAAUAAAACAUAGUUGCUCUAACUCCAUCUGCAAUUCUUUGAUAGAUGUGAAAUGCAAGCCAUGAGAUAUUGUUUUUCUCAACUCGUCAAACAAAAUAGUAUGAUUUCAUUGACCUACUAUUUAAAGUAUCCUCUUCAAUAUCGACACUACCACCAUGACGUGCAAUAUCCUCUAUAUUGCUGAAAAGUGAAAACAGAAUAAACUAAUUAAAUGUCUGCACAUGCUACCCAUCUCAUGAACUUACCAUCAAACUAAAGUAAAAGAAAACAUGUAAUGUAUGGAUGCUAGUACACAUACUGGGCUUCAUCAAAGAUCACAAUCGCAUCCUUAACAUCUACACCAAUUGCUCUUCGUAUAACUGGAUUGAUAAUAUAGCUAUAUGGGCAAAACACCAGCUGUGCGUUGUAUGCCAUAGAGCGAGCUGCAUAAUAUGAACAACCUAAAGAGGAUAAAGAAAUUAAGUUAAAUAUGUGAUGACAACAUGAGACAUGUUAAACACCUAAAAGAUCAAGGAUUAACCUUUUACAGCUUCUCCAGUUUUCACCAAAUCUUGAAUGUCAUGAACCUCAUGACGUCCUCCUUUCUGAAGAGUUGGAUGACAUUUAACCUUGUUUCCGUUUCUUUUAGAGAAAUGAAAAGUAUUUAUCUUCCUUUGUUGAUUAAUUUAAGUUAAGUAAUAAUUGAGAGAAAUAAAUUGAUGAAGAAAUGGGAUAAAGAUAACUCACUUAAAUUCACUGCAUCCUGCAUCUUGAUCCUUCAAAAGUAGUUUGCUGGUAGAUUACAACAAAUAUUACAUUGGAAAGGAGAAUAUCAAAUGAAUUAACUGGAAAAAGCAAACAAAGAAAGAAAAGAUGCCUUUGAGAGAAAUAUGCACCAUUUUUCAUCUAAAUUAUCUUUCCCUCGUACACGAGGAUUUGUGCAUAGAUGUUUCCUUGACGCCUGAUGAUAAAAAGGGGUUAGUAAGACAACAGUCCAGUAUAACCUAACAAGAACCACCCAGAAAUGUAUUGCAGUUAAACCAUAUCUGACAGGAGAGGAAGCCAGUGGAUUCUUACAACCAAAGUCAGCUAAUUCAAGUUCUCAAAUUCCUUCAAUGCAUAAUCUCAUACAAUACGUACACACGCACACACGUGUUAAAGAGGUGACAUACCAACACUGCCAUUGGCACUCGAUAGGCAGUUUUCCUAUACUCACGGAUCACCUGUGAUAUCUGUGAAUGUGUCCUCCUUGAAUAAAGAAAAUGUAUAGCAUUAGCAUCAAAUGUAAAUGAGAAAGACGAUUUGAAAAGAAAAAAAUCCAAGCCCUUGUUUCAAAGUCCAGUAAGUUGGAACUAACGAGGAGUAGUAAAUGGUCGGGGCUGUUUUUUUCUUCCGAAUUUUGUUGUUUGGCCCUGGAAGAGAUGACUCUGUAUCUGUAGACACUAGAGAACCCUUAAUAUUCCUCAGAAGAAGUUACUGGUCCAUAAAACACAAAGCAUAAAAAAGCAAAUACGUAUAUAUAUUUAAAUUUUUUUUUUAAAAAAAAAGUGAGCAAUGUUACUUUAUUGUUAGCUGACGUCCUUCCAUCAGUAGAAAUUUCAGUACAAAUGAGAAAGAGCCGCAUGUAAAACAAAAGCUUGCCAUCAUCCGCAUUCCACAAUAGCUAUUUUUCAUUAAGCGUUUGAAAGAUGAUAUUCCAUAGUGAAUAGAAGAAAAACAAUUUGUUCCAACCUCUGGGUGCCCACGUAUUAUUUCACUCUAUCUCAACGUUAUUCGUCCAUAAAAAGAAAAAAGAAAAAACCAACCAUCUUCAGAUCAAAUUAACCGUCGAAAAAGUUAACAGUUCAAGAUACUUGACAGUUUUUGUUGCAAGCUAUGCGCAACGAAAAUAUAUGUCGUCCAAAGCUACCCUAAAUACAUCCUCACGAUAAACAGUAAACCAUAAACCAAUUUUUUCUACGUCUCUACCUGACCACCUAAUCGAAUUCGUGCGUUCGAUAUGUUCGGAUGAACAGGGUAAGGACAUGCACACUUACUUGACGGCUGCACUUCGGGAAUAAAUCCACCGCCAAAACCGAGAGGAUUCGUGGCAGCCUCUGGAGCAGGCCUCGUGUGACAGAAAUUAGCAUCCUGAUUCUUUAUCUUGAAAUUCUUCUGCCAAGCAAGACUAGAGCAGAGAAGUGAAAGUGACUUCCCGGUUCCAGUCGGAGAUUCCAGCAACGCGUGGCAAUGGCCCUCUCGCUGAGCUCGAUCAAGGGUGGAUAUAACUCUGUCCAUGAACUCCAGCUGCGAACCGUAUGGUCGGAAUGGAAAUUCCACUUGGACGCCACCAAUCCGGUACACAUUCUUCUUAAGCCGAUAAGUUCGGUUGGGCUUGGAUUUAGGCUUCCUCCCCCCUUUUGCAUAGACCAUUUUGGCAGUAUUACACAGAACUUUUCGAGUGGGGUUAUUCGAACUCAUUUUGAGCUACCUAGCUUGGGGAACUACACGAUCGACAGUGGAGUUGUGUGCUCGGUUCGAUUUGAUGGUGGUGGUUUCUUGAAAAGCUUUGGCGGGAAAGGUGAGGGCUUAUCGUACUUGAAAUUGGCGGUAGACAGUAUAAUUAGUUCAUCUUGCAAUGAACGGUGAGGCUCUUGUUUGAAAAGACUCUUCUGUCCUUUGUGGCCAACGGCCGUAAAGGUUACCGUUUAGGCCGAAUUGAAAUCGAUAUUUUUUAAUAUCGAUACUUUCAUAAUAUUCACCUAAAAAAUAGCAAAUUAAAUUAAAAUAUUUACCGGCUACAACAAAAAAAAUUAUUAUGUUGGUGAUAGUCUUCUAUUACUAUAGCAUAUUAAUGACUAUCGAUGAUAUAAUUUGUUAUCGUUUGUAAAUAUUUUGUAAAAUCUACUUAUUUUUUUAAAAAGAAAUUAAAAGAUAUUCGAUUUUAUAUUAUUAUUCCAUUUUUUUAAUGGGCGUGCUUGACAUUUACACAUGCAAUUAUAAGAUAAUUGUGAUAGAAAAUUGGUAUAAUCGUAAUAAAAAUUCAUUGGUAAAUCAAUCAUAGUCAAUUAUAAUCAUAAAUGAAGUUAUAUUUAUUAAUUUGACCGUGUUUAUCUAAAAAUAUGAACUUUGUCAAUUUUAAUACUACCAUUGUGGUUUGGGUCAUAGUUAACCCAAACUAUAUCGAAAGCGAUGUUAAUAAACAAAAAAAUUUAUCUUGAAAUGUAAUGAUAGUGGUAAUCAUAAACUCAAAUCAUAACAAUAACAGUAAUGAUAAUAGUAUGACGUAAUUUUUCGAACGCAAUUGAAUUAAUCACUGUUUGUUUAUCAACUAGGUUGCAACUUUUGCUUACAAAUUUGGAUGAACCUCGUGUGUUAGUACACGUGCAUAACAUAAGUAAACAACACCAUACGUAAUUACAUGAGACUCACCUUUUAAUUUUAUCAUUCAUUUGUUUCCAUUGGAUUGGGUAAACGUGGCCUAUACGUGGUUUUACUUUAUAAAAACCAUGAUUACGAAUGAUUGAAUGAAGUUUUGUCAACGUGUUAUAACAAAUUUUAUCCAAACUCUAUACUAAUAUUGAUAUUUCUAUCAAAUUGGAGCCUUGGUUUUUUAACCUUAAUUAUACACUUUACAACUUUGCAGUUAGGUAUUGCUGUUAGUUUUAUCUUAGUCUCCUUUUCGUCUUCUCCAUCCCUUCGAGACCUUCCUGCUUUUAUUUGAUUCUUACAGUUGAGUUAAAUUUAGCUUCAAAUGUUGUUGUGUUAAUUAAGAGUAGUAUGAGACAUUUUAUUUUUGUUAAAAUUGUAACUAGGUCGAUUCAAACAUCAACAAAUUUCUUACUUGUAUAUAUAUAAUUUUGUUUCACCGUUCACAUAUAUCAACUAAUUGAAGUUAUAAGUUAUAACAUCCAUACUAUGUACUAAUAAAAAAACAAGUGGACACAUGUAUAUAAAUAUUUCAUAUCUAAAAGCAUAUAUGGACGAAUAUCAAAUAUCCAACCAAAACCCCAUAUACGUGAUAACACAUUCAUCACGUAAGCCUAUUAACAAUACACUUCUAUAAUUGAUAAAAUGAUAUGAUCAAACUUAUGGGAAGCAAAGUCAAAUUGAAGUUAUGUAAUUGUUAGCAAUAAUCCAACUCUAUUUAAAUUGUGAGAGGACUAUUUAAAGUAUAUAUUUUUAUUAAAUUAUUUAAUUUUGUUAUUGUUGAUCUAUUGUUUUCUAAUGUUUCGAAAAAUGAUCGUAGAUCGAAUAGAUACUAUAUCGAUUCCUAAAAUCCAUAUCUUAUUCUAUCUUGGUCAUGAACUUUUAGAAGUAUAUGUUUUGGUCAUUAACUCAUAAAAAUAACAUAUUUUGCUAUUUGUCGUUAAUACUCUAUUAAAUCUCUAAUAAAAUGGUGAAGUGACUUUUAUAUUUUAACGAUUAAAAUAUCAAAUAAAAUAAUUACUAAUAAUUAAGGUUUAAACUUUUAGUCCGAUGCUAUAUGAUAAAAGGACGAUGAUCUGAUCGUCACCACCAUCAUGAGUCAUUUUCAUUAUACUUUACUUUUUCGAUUUAUAUGUUUGACAUAAGUUUUGUUAAUAUUUUAAAGGCUAAAGUCAUUUUCAUUAUUAUUUGUUUUUUUUGCUGAUCUAUUUUUUUUAUUAUUAUUUCGAAAAGUUAAUAUAAAUCGUAAAUUUGUUAAUAUAUUUACGAAUUUUGGUCGAUUCCGGUGAUAAACUUUAUUCAACGGCGGUACUGAACCCGCCGUCAUCACCGUUAAGCAGUUCACACCAGGCGAAAGUCCAAUCGUCGUUUUGCCUCACCUCCUUGAGCCACUCCUAUACUUAUCUAUCUGGCUUCCAGCGCCGAUAAAUCGAUACCUUCUAUGGCAUUCGGCGCUUCCCGGCGUCUUAUUCCCUAUCAACUCAGAGCCUGCUUUUUGGGGCUUAUUGCCAGUGGCAGGUAUCACUAUCCCUUAAUCCACUCGCCGUCGCCGGCUUUAUCAUACUUGUUUUCAACCCUAGAUGAACCAUCAAAUCUAUUUGAUGAUGGUCUUUCGGGUAAUGGGGAUCGAAAUCAACGCUGCAUAGACGAGCGAUUCGUUAUCAGUGAACUUUCUGAUCUUCUACUAGUUAAUCCUUAUGGUUCGGUUUAUAACACUCUCAAAGAGAAUUCCAUUGAGAAACAGAUGCCAGUUAGGGCAGUUGAUGGAUUCUUGCUUCCAGAAGAGAAAUUGCGAGGUGUUUUCCUUCAAAAACUGAAUGGUAAAACCGCAAUUGAGCAUGCAUUAGCUAAUACUGAUGUGAUUUUGAGUCAAGAUGUUGUCAGCAAAGUAUUAAACACUGGGAGUUUAGGUAGCGAAGCAAUGGUUACCUUCUUUUAUUGGGCUAUUAAACAGCCGUCGAUACCUAAAGAUGCUUCUAGUUACAACAUAAUUCUUAAAGCUUUAGGUAGAAGGGGUUUUUUUGACUCCAUGAUGGAUGUUUUGUACAACAUGACACGGGAGGGAGUGGAGGCUACAUUGGAAAUGGUCUCCAUUGUAGUAGACAGUCUGGUCAAGGGUCACCAAGUUUCUAAGGCACUUCAAUUUUUCAGAAACUUGAAAGAAAUUGGGUUGAAAUGUGAUACUGAAACCUUGAACAUUCUUCUACAAUGCAUGUGUCGACGAUCCCACGUUGGUGCUGCAAACUCCUUCUUUAAUUUAACCAAGGGGAAUAUCCCUUUCAAUGUCAUGACAUAUAACAUUGUAAUUGGUGGAUGGUCAAGAUACGGUAGGCACGGUGAAGUUGAGCAAAUGUUGAAAGCAAUGGAACUUGAUGGAUUUUCUCCAGACUGUCUGACCCACACCUAUCUUAUUGAGUGUCUUGGCAGAGCUAAUCAGAUUGAUGAUGCUGUCAAGAUUUUUGAUAAAAUGGAUGAAAACGGCUGUACACCAGAUGUUGAUGCUUACAAUGCAAUGAUCUCCAACUUUAUAUGUAUAGGUGAUUUUGAUCAAUGCCUGACCUAUUACGAGCGUAUGUUGAGCAACAGAUGUGAACCUGACAUGAACACCUAUUCGAAUUUGAUUACUGGCUUUCUCAAGGCCAAGAAAGUAGCCGAUGCACUAGAAAUGUUUGAUGAAAUGGUGGCAAGAAUAAUUCCCACUACGGGGGCAAUAACAUCCUUUAUUCAACUUAGCUGUAGUUAUGGUCCUCCACACGCAGCUAUGUUAAUCUACAAGAAAGCAAGAAAAGUUGGAUGUAGGAUAUCCAAGAAUGCAUACAAAUUGUUGCUAAUGCGGCUUUCUUUGUUUGGUAAAUUUGGCAUGCUAUUAAAUAUAUGGAAUGAGAUGCAAGAAAGUGGUUAUGAUCCUGAUGUGGAGACUUAUGAGCAUGCCAUUGACUGUCUCUGUAAAACAGGGCAGCUUGAAAAUGCUGUACUCGUCAUGGAGGAAUGUUUACGUCAGGGUUUCUUCCCAAGUAGGCGAACACGUAGUAAGCUUAAUAACAAACUAUUGGCCUGUAAUAGGACAGAGAUGGCAUAUAAACUCUGGUUGAAAAUCAAAGUUGCUCGUCAUCAGGAAAAUCUGCAAAGAUGUUGGCGUGCCAAGGGAUGGCAUUAUUGAACUUUCAGGUCAUAUCAAUUACAAACAUGUCUUUUU
rnacentral:lncRNA from 1 species